rnacentral:rRNA from 1 species
GGAAUUUUUGGCAAUGGGGGAAACCCUGACCAAGCAACGCCGCGUGGGUGAUGAAGUAUCUUGGUACGUAAAACCCUUUCGACGGGGACGAAGCCGCAAGGUUGACGGUACCCGUAGAAGAAGCCCCGGCUACCUCCGUGCCAGCAGCCGCGGUAAUACGGGGGGGGCAAGCGUUGUUCGGAAUUACUGGGCGUAAAGGGCGCGUAGGCGGCUCGCUAAGUCGGGUGUGAAAACUCUGGGCUCAACCCAGAGCCUGCAUUCGAAACUGACGAGCUCGAGUUCUGGAGGGGAAAGCGGAAUUCCUGGUGUAGCGGUGAAAUGCGUAGAUAUCAGGAGGAACACCGGUGGCGAAGGCGGCUUUCUGGACAGAAACUGACGCUGAGGCGCGAAAGCUAGGGGAGCAAA